rnacentral:rRNA from 1 species
GAUGAACGCUGGCGGCGUACCUAAUACAUGCAAGUCGAGCGAACAGACGAGGAGCUUGCUCCUCUGACGUUAGCGGCGGACGGGUGAGUAACACGUGGAUAACCUACCUAUAAGACUGGGAUAACUUCGGGAAACCGGAUCUAAUACCGGAUAAUAUAUUGAACCGCAUGGUUCAAUAGUGAAAGACGGUUUUGCUGUCACUUAUAGAUGGAUCCGCGCCGCAUUAGCUAGUUGGUAAGGUAACGGCUUACCAAGGCAACGAUGCGUAGCCGACCUGAGAGGAUGAUCAGCCACACUGGAACUGAGACACGGUCCAGACUCCUACGGGAGGCAGCAGUAGGGAAUCUUCCGCAAUGGGCGAAAGCCUGACGGAGCAACGCCGCGUGAGUGAUGAAGGUCUUCGGAUCGUAAAACACUGUUAUUAGGGAAGAACAAAUGUGUAAGUAACUAUGCACGACUUGACGGUACCUAAUCAGAAAGCCACGGCUAACUACGUG